AGUCAUACGACUGAGCACACCACCAAUUGGUACGGCCGUAUGCUCUGUAUCAAAAGUGGGAAUGGGAGAGAAAUGAAUAUUUGCUUAAAAUGAAUCCAAACUAUCAAAAGACCUUUCCAAGAAGGAAAACUCAAGUGUUCAUUUCAGCUGAAAGGUUUUGCAGGAGGAGGUAUGAAGAGUCUUUGCAGUACCCACCGAUUUGGAAAUCGGUUAUAUGACCCUGGCUCCAGACUCUGAUGCCUAAGCCAAACUCCCAGAGUAAAAACUCCACAAAGCAGAGAUUUUGGUCUCCUUUGAUCCCUGCUGCAUCCCCACAGCCUAGGUUUGACCUCCAGCCUGCUUCUGUGUAAGAAUCAAUCAGUAACCAAUUUAGGUGAACUGGAUUUUCCAUCUUGUGGGCCCUGGUUCCUGGUUUCUUUUGCAACCAGAGUCUUGAAUCUGAGCAACUGUUCACUCUGGCCUCUGACCAGGAUCAGCAGAACUUAAGUCUACUCCAGCAGAAUGAGUGACCUAGGGACUUCUACGAAAAAAGGAUGUCAUAAAAAACUUUGUGAAAAAUGAAAUUUCUCUGCUUCUACUCUUAAAGUCUGUUCAUUUUGGAAACUAGGAAUUUUCUAGUAAAAAGAAAUUAAUGAAUAAAAUCAGCAAUUUCUAAUCUAUAUUUGUA
rnacentral:lncRNA from 1 species